AACGCACAUGGCGCUUCCCCACGAAGCAUGCUUGUUUCAGUGUUAUUCCACCUCGCGCAGCCCCCCGGGGUCUUGCGCGGUCUGUGGGCCCUAGGAGUCUCGUGCUCCCAUGGCCUCAAGCACGCACACGGAGCCCCUCGCAAUCGGCGACGCUGCCCCGAGACUUUGGGUCGCAGUUUCACGAGCGCGCGGUGUGGUAGGUCCUCGGACUCAACACCCCCGUGCGUCUCACUCUGCGGCUACUCCAAACAUUGUCUCGAUCCGGGCGCGGCGCGCGCGCGAGUGUGCUCGCAGGGACUUCCAUCCCGACAGGGGGCGCUCCGGGCGCCCCACCCCCCAUUCACCUUUUAACCUGAAAUCAAGUAAGAGGACCCGCUGAAUUUAA
rnacentral:misc_RNA from 1 species